AUCGCUUCCGGCCUUUUGGCUAAGAUCAGGAAAAGUGUAGUAUCUGUUCUUAUCAGUUUAAUAUCUGAUAUGUCCUCUAUGUAAGGGGACUACAUAUUAGAAGCAGAUUUUUGGCACAUGAGGGCAGAAAUUUGGGCUUUGCUCCUUUCUCCACGCAUCGACCUAGCAUUGCAGUGCCGCUGGGGCAGGUGCACUGUUC